rnacentral:lncRNA from 1 species
AGAGCUCAACACUUAAUAACAAACCAUUAGGCUCUCGCUUUCUAGGUUUGUCUAAUUGACCAGUGUCGGUCGAUGAUUCUAUAGGCAUAUCGAUCGAUACACUUGUUGAAACGUCGACCGAUUAUUCGAUUGAAAUAUCGAUCGACGGUUAUGGUCAAGCGUUAAUGCACGGGUUGAAUGUGCUCACUAAGCUUCCUAGAUCAGGUGUCGCCUUACUCUAGCAAUCUUAUCUCAAUUAGGAUUGAUUCAGGGUGAGAUGCAAGCUAUCACUU